GGUGUUUCUAUCACUAACUCUUGGAGACCGGAAAUUUGGAGCUGCUAACAGAGAACAUGAAGGUGCUGACAGCCAGCGGAGUCAUCUGCAGGGGAGGAAGUCAGCGUUUGCUCGCGGUGGGAGUGACCAGGAAUGCCCGUGUCUGGAGCUCCGAAAUCCUGCCUUCCUAUCAGGUUAAACCUGGGACCCGAGGUGAACUUCAUCAGUGAGCCUUGGUGAAACAUCUUCCCUGAAUUACGUCUGAAACUCACGAUACCUCUUUUGUAGGGUAGUUUUGUAUUAACAAAUCAUCACCAUGUAGAAUGCAUUUUUCUUUGUUUUAUAAGAUGCUCGUGAUAAUCACCCCCAUGGCAGUGAAGGCGGGCAGGGUAACAUAAGGGUUGGAAGCCCUGGGUCCCAGCCGUGGAGACCAGGCUCCGAGUCCAUGUAGACUGGCUGUGUGUACACGCCUACCAAGGCGCCUAACUUCUCUGAGCUUCGGUGCCUUCUUUCGGAAAAAGUGAUAAUGAGAAUUACAUGUGUCGUGAAAACUGAGUUUAAAAUAAUGCAUAAAAUAGUAUACAUGGCCAGAACACAAUUAAAAGUAACUUUUUUAUUAUGCUUUUGUUCAACAUCAAUGUACAUUAUCCUUUUUGUCAAUAUUUAGUAGCAGAUAAUAAAGUGAAAUGAAAAAUGUCAUCUUUUCCUCUUGGCUGCUGUGAAGCUCAGAG
ensembl:lincRNA